rnacentral:rRNA from 1 species
AUUGAACGCUGGCGGCAGGCCUAACACAUGCAAGUCGAACGAGUGGCGGACGGGUGAGUAAUGUCUGGGAAACUGCCCGAUGGAGGGGGAUAACUACUGGAAACGGUAGCUAAUACCGCAUACCAUCGGAUGUGCCCAGAUGGGAUGAGCUAGUAGGUGGGGUAAGGGCUCUCCUAGGCGACGAUCCCUAGCUGGUCUGAGAGGAUGACCAGCCAAACUGGAACAUAGACACGGUCCAGACUCGAACGGAAGGCAGCGGUGGGGAAUAUUGCACAAUGGGCGCAAGCCUGAUGCAGCCAUGCCGCGUGUAUGAAGAAGGCCUUCGGGUUGUAAAGUAUUUUCAGCGAGGAGGCGUUACUCACAGAAGAAGCACCGGCUAACUCCGUGCCAGCCGCCGCGGUAAUUC